AAAACCCUUCUUCUUUCAGGAGUCAUUUCUGUAGCUUGUUUCUAGAGACGUUUCUUCAAGCCUGCAGAGCCCCAGAAACUGAGAGGAGGAGGCAAAGCCACAUUCUCUUUGGAGGGUGAAACCUGCUCUUGGUGUGGCUUCUGCAACUGCCAUUGGCCCUUGAUAACCAUUCUUCUCUUCCAUUGGGAGAGGGAGAGGGAGAGGGAGAGGAUGCUGCCUGAGUGGU